UUUAUGGAGAGUUUGAUCCUGGCUCAGGAUGAACGCUGGCGGCGUGCCUAAUACAUGCAAGUCGAGCGAACGGACGAGAAGCUUGCUUCUCUGAUGUUAGCGGCGGACGGGUGAGUAACACGUGGAUAACCUACCUAUAAGACUGGGAUAACUUCGGGAAACCGGAGCUAAUACCGGAUAAUAUUUUGAACCGCAUGGUUCAAAAGUGAAAGACGGUCUUGCUGUCACUUAUAGAUGGAUCCGCGCUGCAUUAGCUAGUUGGUAAGGUAACGGCUUACCAAGGCAACGAUGCAUAGCCGACCUGAGAG
rnacentral:rRNA from 1 species